rnacentral:lncRNA from 1 species
GUCUUUCCUUCCUUGAUUCUGUCUCAUUCCGGUAGAAAAAUUUUCCUGACAUCAGGUGGCCUGCGGCCUGGACCUUACAGGGUCACACAGACUGCACUUCGUCAGUGACGACCGAGCUGUGCCCUCUGUGCCUACUCACAGUGGACUGGUCACUUUGGGGACGCCCACAUGAUUCUCCAUCUGCUCUAUGCUUCCAGGAAGCUCCUACGGCCCGGGUUAAUUCUUUUUCUCCCUCUGCUGUCCCUUCCUCCACUCUCUAACUAUGGGUGCCUCCUUGUCUAUACGGGAAACCUCACCAAUCAAGUGUCUCCUUAAGAAUUUGGCUACUCUCUCUCUCCCCAGAUCUCAAGCCCAAAAUUCUUAUCAGAUUCUGAACCCAAGAUUGGCCCACAUAUCCACUAGAUAAUGACAAUCAUUGGCCUCCAGAAGGCUUGUUAGAUCCAAAUUUCCUCCAGGACUUUUUAACUGUUGCUGGCACCUGAAAGUGUAGAAAGAGUUCCCAGGUCUCCCCGACCUGCCUUCUGCUCUCUGUUCCCAACCUUCCCCUAUGCGCACUUCUCCUCCUCUUCCUCCGCGUCCGUAUCCCCUCCCUCUCCCUGUUGCACCCGCCUGCAGCCCUGCCUGUGCACUUCCCCUCCUCUUCCACGGAGACAUCCCCCUCCCCUCCCUCUUCUUCCUGUCCACCGCUGCCUACGCAGCCGCCCAUGGCCUUGUCUGCGUGCUUCUAGUCUGCCUGGCCACCAGACACGUGCGCUGGUGCUCCACCUUCCCGGUGCGGCCGUACUUCACCUUUAUUGCGCCACAGCAGCUUUCGCGCGAGCCCCUGACUCGUGCGUCUCCCUUUGCCACCCGGUUCCAAUAGGCAGGCAGGAUGGGUCCCACCUGGCUGCAAAGGGUGGGAUCUCUGGAUCCCUCCGAGCCUCUCCCCCUAGCCCCACUCUGCUCACCUCUUCUAUUGAUAAGCCCUUCCCCUCCCCCUACUCACGCCUCUCUUCUCCUGCCAGUAUCCCACUGAUCCCUUUUAUCAGAUAACUCACAGUUCCUUUGUUCUCUCAGGGAAGUAGCUGGUGCUGAAGGGAUAGUCUGAACCUAACUGGGACUGCAUUCAAGCAGUUUCUAAUAAGGUAGUUAACUUUGAUAAACUGAAGGACAUUACCCAGAACCCUGCUGAAAAUCCAUUUUUAUUUCUCAACCGCCUUACAGAGGCCCUAACCAAAUACAUUAAGCUAGAUCUUGAGUCUCCCAUCAGGGCUACAGUGUUAGCAACCCAUUUCAUUACUCAAUCGGCUCAUGAUAUUAGAAAAAGCUCAAAUGAGCUGAGGAGGACUAUCAGACCCCUAUCUGAGAUCUGGUGAAAAUGGCUUUUAAAGCAGGCUCCACUGCAGAAAAGAAGGUAACACCCCAAACUCAGGCCUUGACAGCAGCCCUGAGGCCUACAUCUCCAGCAAAAGUUUCAGAGGGGAACCAGCAUUCCUCUCCACCAGAGGCUUGCCUCAAAUAUGAAUGCGAAGGUCACUGGGCACGCCAAUGCCCAAACCCAUGGCCUCCUUCCAGGCCAUGCCCUACCUGUAAGCAGACAGGACAUUUGAAGAUUGACUGCCCCUGGCUGGCCCUUCCUUGGCAGGGGGUAUGACCAAUCAGGCAGUCCCUUCUUCUGAACUUUUGGAGUUUGCAGAAGACUGAAGAAGCCCAGAUUCAAAGACCCCCCUCAGCCCUCUCCGAGCCCAGGGUAAUGCUCCAGGCAGUGGGUAAGUCCAUAACCUUCCUUGUGGACACGGGGGCUACCUAUUCUGUAUUGCCUGCCCAUUCUAGGCCUCUAUUUCCUUCCCAGGUCUCAGUUAUGGGGAUUAAUGACAAACCCUUCCCCCAAAACAGAACUGUAAAGCUGGCCUGUGCCCUGGAGGAACACCCAUUCGCUCACUCUUCUGGUCACUCCAUCCUGUCAGUUCCUCUCCUAGGCAGAGAUGUUCUCCAAUUAUUAGGAGCCACCCUCCAAUUACACCCCAAGAAUACUACCACCCAUCUCGUUCAGCCUUUAACUCUUACCCUCUCUAAUGACCUGACAGUACCUACUGUGCCACUGCCCCCUGAUCCCUAGGUCUGAGACAUCUCCAUGCUGGUUAUUGCCUCCCACCACAAGCCAGUCCAUACCCAGCUGAAACACCAAACUAAACUUCCUUGUGUUCCCAAUUUCCUAUCUCCAAAACCCAUAGGGAGGGAUUUAAGCCCAUUAUACACCAGUUGCUGGCCCAGGGACUCCCAAUCCUUACUGACUCCCCCUGUAAUACUCCUAUAUUUCUGGUACGCAAACCCUCAGGAGCCUAUCACUUAGUCCAGGAACUCCACCUAAUUAAUGAGGCAGUUAUUCCCAUCCACUCGGUGGUUUCCAGCCCUCAUGCUUUUCUUUCUCAUAUCCCCCUUUGACCAUUCACUUUACUGUCCUGGAUCUUAAAGCUAAUGUCUUUACAGUGCCUCUGCAUCCUGACUCUUAUUACCUCUUUGUCUUCACAUGGGAAGACCUUACAUUCUUUAGGUUUCAACAGCUGACAUGGACAGGCCUACCCCAAGGCUUCAGGGACAGUCCCUACCACUUUGGUCAGGCCUUGACACAGGAUUUAACUGUUUGUAAUUUGGGGAUAGCACUCUCUUACAGUUGGAUAGAAGCCUUCCCUACCACCAGGAAAACUGCUGACACCAUCGGAAACUGCUGACACUGUCGCCUCCAUCCUCAUUAAGCAGAUCAUUACUAGGUUCGAACUUCCUGCCUCCAUCCAGGCAGACAAUGGUCCAGCCUUAACUUCUCAGAUUCUUUAACUAAUUUCCAAAGGCCUUAACAGAACUUGGAGGCUCCACAUCCCCCACUGACCCCAAUCCUCAGGUAAGUUUGAGAGGCCUAAUGGCAUUCUCAAGGAUCAUCUCACUAAACUUGCUAUUGAACUCAGACUGUCCUGGCCCAAUCUUUUGCCAUUGGCCCUCACCCAAAUUCGGGCAACCCCUAGAGCCCCCUCAGGCCUUAGCCCCUUUGAGCUGUUCUAUGGGUGCCUUUCUUAAUCAACUAAAACUUUCCUAUCACUCCUCCUCCCCUUGUGUCCCACCUGCCCUAUC